GACGAACGCUGGCGGCGUGCUUAACACAUGCAAGUCGAACGGAAAGGCCCUGCUUUUGUGGGUUGCUCGAGUGGCGAACGGGUGAGUAACACGUGAGUAACCUGCCCUUGACUUUGGGAUAACUUCAGGAAACUGGGGCUAAUACCGGAUAUGAGCUCCUGCUGCAUGGUGGGGGUUGGAAAGUUUCGGCGGUUGGGGAUGGACUCGCGGCUUAUCAGCUUGUUGGUGUGGUAGUGGCUUACCAAGGUUUUGACGGGUAGCCGGCCUGAGAGGGUGACCGGCCACAUUGGGACUGAGAUACGGCCCAGACUCCUACGGGAGGCAGCAGUGGGGAAUAUUGCACAAUGGGCGGAAGCCUGAUGCAGCAACGCCGCGUGCGGGAUGACGGCCUUCGGGUUGUAAACCGCUUUCGCCUGUGACGAAGCGUGAGUGACGGUAAUGGGUAAAGAAGCAACGGCUAACUACGUG
rnacentral:rRNA from 1 species